rnacentral:rRNA from 1 species
UACGUAGGGUCCGAGCGUUGUCCGGAGUUACUGGGCGUAAAGCGCGCGCAGGCGGCGGUGCUGGCCCGGCGUGAAAGCCCCCGGCUCAACCGGGGAGAGUCGUCGGGGACCGCACCGCUUGAGGGCGGUAGGGGGCUGGUGGAAUGCCUGGUGUAGUGGUGAAAUGCGUAGAGAUCAGGCAGAACACCUGGGGCGAAGGCGGCCAGCUGGGCCGUCCCUGACGCUGAGGCGCGAAGGCCGUGGGGAGCGAACGGG